UAGUGGCGAACGGGUGAGUAACACGUGGGCAAUCUGCCCUUCACUCUGGGACAAGCCCUGGAAACGGGGUCUAAUACCGGAUAAUACUCCUGCCUGCAUGGGUGGGGGUUGAAAGCUCCGGCGGUGAAGGAUGAGCCCGCGGCCUAUCAGCUUGUUGGUGGGGUAAUGGCCCACCAAGGCGACGACGGGUAGCCGGCCUGAGAGGGCGACCGGCCACACUGGGACUGAGACACGGCCCAGACUCCUACGGGAGGCAGCAGUGGGGAAUAUUGCACAAUGGGCGAAAGCCUGAUGCAGCGACGCCGCGUGAGGGAUGACGGCCUUCGGGUUGUAAACCUCUUUCAGCAGGGAAGAAGCGAAAGUGACGGUACCUGCAGAAGAAGCGCCGGCUAACUACGUGCCAGCAGCCGCGGUAAUACGUAGGGCGCAAGCGUUGUCCGGAAUUAUUGGGCGUAAAGAGCUCGUAGGCGGCUUGUCACGUCGGAUGUGAAAGCCCGAGGCUUAACCUCGGGUCUGCAUUCGAUACGGGCUAGCUAGAGUGUGGUAGGGGAGAUCGGAUUUCCU
rnacentral:rRNA from 1 species